GGCCCGGUCGCGGAUGGUCCGCAACUGCAACCUGUGGAGGCGUCGUAUAGGUUGAUUUCUGCCUGCAGGAGUCGCUCGUUCGAAUCGAGCCCGGGCCA